CCUACGGGUGGCAGCAGUGAGGAAUAUUGGUCAAUGGCCGUAAGGCUGAACCAGCCAAGCCGCGUGAAGGAAGAAGGACCUAUGGGUUGUAAACCUCUUUUGUCGGGGGAUAAAGGUCUGCACGUGUGGAUGUUUGCAGGUACCCGAUGAAUAAGCAUCGGCUAACUCCGUGCCAGCAGCCGCGGUAAUACGGAGGGUGCGAGCGUUAUCCGGAUUUAUUGGGUUUAAAGGGUGCGUAGGCGGGUUUUUAAGCCGGCAGUGAAAGUUGGUGGCUCAACCAGAACAGUGCCGUGGAAACUGGAGGACGUGAGUGUGGUGGAGGCAGGCGGAAUGCGUGGUGUAGCGGUGAAAUGCAUAGAUAUCACGCAGAACUCCGAUUGCGAAGGCAGCUUGCCGAGCCGUCACUGACGCUGAGGCACGAAAGCGCGGGGAUCGAACAGGAUUAGAUACCCUUGUAGUC
rnacentral:rRNA from 1 species